AACGAACGCUGGCGGCAUGCCUAACACAUGCAAGUCGAACGAGACCUUCGGGUCUAGUGGCGCACGGGUGCGUAACGCGUGGGAACCUGCCCUUAGGUUCGGAAUAACUCCCCGAAAGGGGUGCUAAUACCGGAUAAUGUCUUCGGACCAAAGAUUUAUCGCCUUUGGAUGGGCCCGCGUUGGAUUAACUAGUUGGUAGGGUAAAAGCCUACCAAGGCGACGAUCCAUAGCUGGUCUGAGAGGAUGAUCAGCCACACUGGGACUGAGACACGGCCCAGACUCCUACGGGAAGCAGCAGUGGGGAAUAUUGGACAAUGGGCGAAAGCCUGAUCCAGCAAUGCCGCGUGAGUGAUGAAGGCCUUAGGGUUGUAAAGCUCUUUUACCCGGGAUGAUAAUGACAGUACCGGGAGAAUAAGCGCCGGCUAACUCCGUG
rnacentral:rRNA from 1 species